rnacentral:rRNA from 1 species
UACGAAGGGGGCUAGCGUUGCUCGGAAUCACUGGGCGUAAAGGGUGCGUAGGCGGGUCUUUAAGUCAGGGGUGAAAUCCUGGAGCUCAACUCCAGAACUGCCUUUGAUACUGAAGAUCUUGAGUUCGGGAGAGGUGAGUGGAACUGCGAGUGUAGAGGUGAAAUUCGUAGAUAUUCGCAAGAACACCAGUGGCGAAGGCGGAGCUCACCUGG